CUGGCUUUGCAGCAGAAACACCCUGCUAAAGAACAAGUAUCUUGGUUCACAGCAAAGAGGACAAAGAAAAACAGCAAGUUAUAGAGGGUUGAAUGCUGGAUUGUGGUGACCAGAAGGACUGUAGAUGGACUGCAGGAAAGGGUUUGCAGGGUGAGGAACAGGGGUGCUCUCUGUGCAACAAUGGGGCUCACGACCAUAGAAGGAGCUGGGCAUGAGGUUAGAAGAGCACAGGCUCCUGUCUCAUUCACACUCGAUGAAAAUAAGGAGGAUGGCAUCUGUGAAGACAGGCAUACCCAACGAUGCACAUGUGCACACCACACAAUGACAUGUGCACAGCUGUAAGCACACACGGUCAUGGAGUUCCAGUCACAGGUGAAGAAGUCUUCUCAAAGGUCACCUCUUGCCCCCAUGCUACAAUGUUGCCUUAUAUUAGGACAUGUUGGGACAAAAAUUCACCAGAAUUCUCCUGUUUAUUCUUUCUGACCAUGAUGGGUCUUUUAGUUAUUAAAGUUGAAUAAUCAAAUUUAAGAAUUAUUUCCACCUGGAUCCCCAUGCACAGUUCCUCUCUAAUUUUAUUGGCUGUGAAUCUCUCCCAAUAAAUA